GUACCUGACUACCUUGGUUCCUGUGGAUGGCUCCUCUGGGCUCCAAUACCCAACUCAUUACAAGCGGUUCAUUGUCCAGAUGUUUACUUUAGUGGAUGCUACCUCCUUGCUGAAGGAAACAGUACUGUCUGACUGCUACUUUACUGUUCCUGCUUCAUGCAACAGGAUUUUAAUCCUUGACUACUUCCUCACAGGUGUUCAUCCAUUGUAGUACAGCACUGUGCCACCCUUCUGCUGCUGAUCGCUGUGAACAGAGAUGCAGCAGGCAGAGGAGGACUAUUGCUACUAAAGAAAAUUUUCCAUUGGGGAAACUAUAGUGGUUUCUAGUCAGAAAGUGAUCUUGCUGGACUUGGAGCCCCCAGUAUCUGACACCUACUCUGACAAUGAAGUGCCCCAGUCACUUGGCUAUGGCCUGCUGGAAAUGGCUGCCUCGGUUGUGCUUGUCUCUGUCCUGGUCCUGGCUGUCGUGUGGAGAUCACUAAUGUUUCUGGUUUUU